rnacentral:rRNA from 1 species
CGGAGAGCUUGCUCGAAGAUGGUGAGAGUGGCGCACGGGUGCGUAACGCGUGAGCAACCUACCUCUAUCAGGGGGAUAGCCUCUCGAAAGAGAGAUUAAGACCGCAUAAUAUCUUUGACUGGCAUGUUCGAUUGAUUAAAUAUUUAUAGGAUAGAGAUGGGCUCGCGUGACAUUAGCUAGUUGGUAGGGUAACGGCUUACCAAGGCGACGAUGUCUAGGGGCUCUGAGAGGAGAAUCCCCCACACUGGUACUGAGACACGGACCAGACUCCUACGGGAGGCAGCAGUAAGGAAUAUUGGUCAAUGGGCGGAAGCCUGAACCAGCCAUGCCGCGUGCAGGAUGACUGCCCUAUGGGUUGUAAACUGCUUUUGUCCAGGAAUAACCCCAGAUACGAGUAUCUGGCUGAAUGUACUGGAAGAAUAAGGAUCGGCUAACUCCGUGCCAGCAGCCGCGGUAAUACGGAGGAUCCGAGCGUUAUCCGGAUUUAUUGGGUUUAAAGGGUGCGUAGGCGGCCUGUUAAGUCAGGGGUGAAAUACGGUGGCUCAACCAUCGCAGUGCCUUUGAUACUGACGGGCUUGAAUCCAUUUGAAGUGGGCGGAAUAAGACAAGUAGCGGUGAAAUGCAUAGAUAUGUCUUAGAACUCCGAUUGCGAAGGCAGCUCACUAAGCUGGUAUUGACGCUGAUGCACGAAAGCGUGGGGAUCGAACAGGAUUAGAUACCCUGGUAGUCCACGCCCUAAACGAUGAUAACUCGAUGUUGGCGAUAGACAGCCAGCGUC